rnacentral:rRNA from 1 species
AGAGUUUGAUUAUGGCUCAGGAUGAACGCUAGCUACAGGCUUAACACAUGCAAGUCGAGGGGCAUCAGGAGAAAGCUUGCUUUCUUGCUGGCGACCGGCGCACGGGUGAGUAACGCGUAUCCCAACCUUCCCCCCAGUAGGGCAUAGCCCGGCGAAAGUCGGAUUAAUACCCUAUGUUGUGUCAUGAGGACAUCUGAAUAACACCAAAGAUUUAUCGCUGGGGGAUGGGGAUGCGUCCGAUUAGGUUGUUGGCGGGGUAACGGCCCACCAAGCCCGCGAUCGGUAGGGGUUCUGAGAGGAAGGUCCCCCACACUGGUACUGAGACACGGACCAGACUCCUACGGGAGGCAGCAGUGAGGAAUAUUGGUCAAUGGGCGAGAGCCUGAACCAGCCAAAGUAGCGUGCAGGACGACGGCCCUAUGGGUUGUAAACUGCUUUUAUGCGGGGAUAAAGUGACGUACGUGUACGUUUUUGUAGGUACCGCAUGAAUAAGGACCGGCUAAUUCCGUGCCAGCCGCCGC